GACGUAGGGCGCGAGCGUUGUCCGGAUUUAUUGGGCGUAAAGCGCUCGCAGGUGGUUCGUUGCGUCGUGCGUGAAAGACCCCGGCUCAACUGGGGGAUGUCGUGCGAUACGGGCGGACUGGAGGCCAGUAGGGGGAUGCGGAAUUCCGGGUGUAGUGGUGGAAUGCGUAGAGAUCCGGAGGAACACCAGCGGCGAAGGCGGCAUCCUGGACUGGUCCUGACACUCAGGAGCGAAAGCGUGGGGAGCGAUCCGG
rnacentral:rRNA from 1 species